UAUUUAUUUGUUAAUUAAUUUUUCUCAUGAUGUGACAGUGCAUUUGUGUACGGUAUUCUAUUAGUUUGCUCAACAACCAUGCUUUGUGAAGAGAAAGGAAUUUGAUGGCAUUCACAUGCAAUUGUUUCCUCUCUCCUGUGUUUGCAGAAAAGAAAAUUUCCUUUUUACAAUAUUUAUGUUUGAAUAUAGCUUUCAUGAGGUUUUCAAAAAAAAAAAAAAAUAAAAUAAAAUAAAAUUAAAAUUUUGGCCUUUGUGUUUGUGACACAGCAUCCGUGCAAGGAGAUAGAUGAGUAGUAAUGAAAGCCGUCAUCUUUUAGAACUUGCUAAUCUUCUUAAAGAAAAUACCAAGAACUAGGCAUUUAUGUUCUUCUUAAGUCCAAUUAAUUAAUACCAAGACCCCCUAAGCCUUAACUAAAACAAUGUAUUUAUAAACCUAAUUCCUAAAAGAAAUAGGAAAAGAAUCAUGAAAUAAUUGACUUAAUUAUCUAAUGACAAUACGAAAAUGAAUAAGAAACUUAUAGAGUAGGAAAUCUAAAAAAAAUAGACCACGAAAAUUAAAAAUUAUUUAAAAUAAAUUAUCUUCAUGCACCAGGACUCCAUAAGUUUAUGAUUCCAAUCCUAGAGUUGGUGGACUAAGUAUUUUGUGCCACACAAAGGUGGAAAAUCUGUGUUGAAGUUUAGCCCUUGUGACAUUAACUACAAUUACAUUGAGUACUUUAAAAAAGUUGUGUGAUUUUUUUAUGCCAAAUAUUAACUUGGAGAUGUUAUUUUCUAAUUUGGAGGGGCUACAUAUUUUCAUUAGUAGCCAGAGUGCAUGCAGUGAUUUUUGGUAAUUUGGGAAGGCAGUUGGUACCUACAGAGG
rnacentral:lncRNA from 1 species